rnacentral:rRNA from 1 species
AACGAACGCUGGCGGCAUGCCUAACACAUGCAAGUCGAACGAGACCUUCGGGUCUAGUGGCGCACGGGUGCGUAACGCGUGGGAACCUGCCCUUAGGUUCGGAAUAACUCCCCGAAAGGGGUGCUAAUACCGGAUAGUGUCUUCGGACCAAAGAUUUAUCGCCUUUGGAUGGGCCCGCGUUGGAUUAGCUAGUUGGUAGGGUAAAAGCCUACCAAGGCGACGAUCCAUAGCUGGUCUGAGAGGAUGAUCAGCCACACUGGGACUGAGACACGGCCCAGACUCCUACGGGAGGCAGCAGUGGGGAAUAUUGGACAAUGGGCGAAGGCCUGAUCCAGCAAUGCCGCGUGAGUGAUGAAGGCCUUAGGGUUGUAAAGCUCUUUUACCCGGGAUGAUAAUGACAGUACCGGGAGAAUAAGCUCCGGCUAACUCCGUG